rnacentral:rRNA from 1 species
AGCAGUAGCCGCGGUAAUGCGUAGGUGGCAAGCGUUGUCCGGAAUUAUUGGGCGUAAAGGGCUCGCAGGCGGUUUCUUAAGUCUGAUGUGAAAGCCCCCGGCUCAACCGGGGAGGGUCAUUGGAAACUGGGAAACUUGAGUGCAGAAGAGGAGAGUGGAAUUCCACGUGUAGCGGUGAAAUGCGUAGAGAUGUGGAGGAACACCAGUGGCGAAGGCGACUCUCUGGUCUGUAACUGACGCUGAGGAGCGAAAGCGUGGGGAGCGAACAGGAUUAGAUACCCGCGUAGUCCCUGUCUCUUAUAA